GAUGAACGCUGGCGGCGCGCCUAACACAUGCAAGUCGAACGAUUAAAGCACCUUCGGGUGUGUAUAAAGUGGCGAACGGCUGAGUAACACGUGGGCAACCUGCCCCCUUCAUUGGGAUAGCCACGGGAAACCGUGGAUAAUACCGAAUACUUCGAGACUUCCGCAUGGAAGACUCGAGAAAGCUCCGGCGGAGAGGGAUGGGCCCGCGGCCUGUUAGCUUGUUGGUGGGGUAACGGCCUACCAAGGCAAUGAUGGGUAGCUGGGUUGAGAGACCGACCAGCCAGAUUGGGACUGAGACACGGCCCAGACUCCUACGGGAGGCAGCAGUGGGGAAUCUUGCACAAUGGGCGAAAGCCUGAUGCAGCGACGCCGCGUGCGGGAUGAAGGCCUUCGGGUUGUAAACCGCUUUCAGCAGGGACGAGGCGAAAGUGACGGUACCUGCAGAAGAAGCCCCGACUAACUACGUG
rnacentral:rRNA from 1 species